CUUAUAUUUACAUCUUAUAAUUUCAGGGCUAUCACAAAAACAUUGCUACUUUUUCUUCAUGAAUCAGGCAGAAAAUGAAUGAAUAAAUGAGUGAAAAACACACAGGUAACAAAAGUCUUCAACUCCAUGACAGCCCUGUAAGAGUGAUGGCUCCACAUCAAGGAGAUCCUUGAACCUGGAAAUCAAGGCAAUCAUUUUAGAAU
rnacentral:lncRNA from 1 species